GAAAUGCGAUAAGUAAUGUGAAUUGCAGAAUUCAGUGAAUCAUCGAAUCUUUGAACGCACAUUGCGCCCAUUAGUAUUCUAGUGGGCAUGCCUGUUCGAGCGUCAUUUCAACCCUUAAGCCUAGCUUAGCGUUGGGAGACUGCGCUAAACCGCAGCUCCUCAAAACCAGUGGCGGAGUCCUCUCGUACUCUGAGCGUAGUAAUUCUUUAUCUCGCUUCUGCAAGUACGGUUGACGACAGCCAUAAACCGCACCCUCUCGGGGGGCACUUUUUAAUGGUUGACCUCGGAUCAGGUAGGAAUACCCGCUGAACUUAA
rnacentral:misc_RNA from 1 species